UGAAGCAUGAUCUUAAGGACAUGUGGAUCGCAUAGAAGUGAGAAUGCCGGUGUGAGUAGCUAAAGACGGGUGAGAAUCCCGUCCACCGAUUGACUAAGGUUACCAGAGGAAGGCUCGUCCGCUCUGGGUUAGUCGGGUCCUAAGCUGAUGCCGACAGGCGUAGGCGAUGGAUAACAGGUUGAUAAUCCUGUACCACCUAUAAUCGUUUUAAUCGAUGGUGGGACGCAUUAGGAUAGGCGAAGCGUGCGAUUGG
rnacentral:rRNA from 1 species